ACAUGUCCCGCAUUGAAGGUGUGGUUAGAAUGAAUUGUGCCAAUAUGAGGUAAGCUACUCCAUAAUCAAGGACAAGUGUGAGGUGGAGGGCACGUGCAGGCAGUGCACAGAGCAUAGGCAGUGCACACGGGAGAGUUUCAAAAGGAAGGACAUGAUUGCUCAAGGAAAAGCACAGCCGACAGGUUCUCUGUGCAGGCAAUGAAGGCUCAUGACUCUAAGAGAAGAACAAAUAUGGUUUUGGUUUUGCUUCUAAAGUGGAAUUUUUUGGAGAUAAAGUAAAAACUGACAGCUAUCUGGUAAUGGUCCAUGUUCCAAGAAACUGGAAACUCAUGCUGAGGAAAGGCUUUCUGGAACUGCCAUAUGCCAGGCACUUGGGCUACAGGAUAAACUGGGUAUAGGUGAUCUUGCCCUCAUCGACCUUGCUGUCAAAAUAUGAUUCAAUCCCCAUCACCAAGAGCCUGUUCCAUUCACUGUUGUCAUCACCGGGGAAGACAUGAGGAACAAGAUGUAGAACUCUCAGCUCCUCCUCUAUGCCGUGCCUGCCCGGAAGCUACCAUGCUCCUGCCAUGAUGAAAAUGGACUGAACCUCUGACCCUGUUAGCC